ACCCUGAGCUAUGAAAUACCUUUGGAAAAUCCUAACUACCUCCUACUCCCUCCUUUCCACCCUCAAGGAUGUGACACAAUCUCUUGAACUAAGGCAAAUCUGCCCUGGAUGGAAAUUUUUACCACAGCUAAAACACAGGGUGAUUCCUAUGUAGUAAAUGUGGUUUACCCUGGGAUCAGUAGCUUGUGUGCUCUUGGUCUAGGGUGGCUACAUCUAGGAUUUGGCCUAGAAAUUUUUAUCUCAGGACAAGUCAAGUUAGUGGUUUUGCUCUGAUUUUACCUGUUCUCUGAAUGAAAUUAUUCAGUCUCCAGUGUUCCCAAUACAGUGCUUGGCUGCAAUUUGCCCAAGACUAGUUCUGUCCUGUCAAUCUGAGUGUUUGUAUUUGAAAGUAAUGCUGUGUUUCAUGGGGAAAAUCAGCAACAUUAUAGUGAGUCAAGGAGAAGUAUGAAGUCAGUUGGCAUAACUUACAAAGGGAGAAACUGGCGUGUUAAAGAUUUCAUCCUACAAAAUGCCUUUAAAUCAAUUCAGAACACUCUUUCAUCAAGGACUAAAUCCCCAAGGAUCAAGGACCACUUUAGUCACAUUAAGACCACUUUAAUCCUACAUGAGGACAACCAUUUGGGGCUUUAAUGCACAGUGAUUUUCCACGGUCAGGUAAAUUGGCUUAACUUACCGAGUGUCUCUUUGCUUACAGACUCAAAAUUUCUUUUGUUUUGCUUUUUUGCACUGUCCUGCAGGAAAGGACUGCUGCUUCCCACCUGCUACCCCACGUGUGCCCAAUCCUCUUUUGUUCCCUAAGUCACUGACUCAUCGCUUCUGUCAACUCUUGACUCUCAUUGCAAAGUUUUGUAUGCUGUAACCUAUAUAAAGAAAUUAAUUUCAUUCAAGUGUAUUAGCAAGCAGCCUGGAGGGGAUUUUAUUUGGUUGGGUUUUUUUCUGUACAGUGCCAGAAACCAAUUUCCCCAAAUCUUCAAGAUUUCUGAAACACCUGACUCACACUCCUGAGUUGUCAGGACUACUUCAUGGUUGUGUUUUACUCCUUCAUUCACUGUUUUCUUUAUUUAAAGCUUAUAAUUUUUCCAAAAUUAUUUUGAUUAUGCUACAAUUCACAUAUUUCACAUAGAAAUAGUAAGUCCAUCUACUCUCUCACUGUAAUUAGACAGUAAUGUAACACAUUUGAAAAUAAACAAAUCAGGCAUGAGGUGGUUUUAUGGAACAAUACAGAACAAGUGGGUGGACAGGAAUGUAGAAAUAAAGCCAGGAUUCUGAGUGGUAAAAAUUGGCUCAUCUCCAUUAGCUUGCUAGAGCUACAAUAGCUUGAACUCUUGCAUUUGGCAAUGAGCAAUAAAAUUAUAAAAAUACAUAGUAUUAGGAAAAACAUGUCCUUUUAAGCUGUUCUUUCAGUGAAUUUCUGCUGGCAGCAGCACAGCUUCAGAAACAAAUGAUCUAAAGUUAGAUUUCUGUAGUUACACUCUUGGCUAUAACUUGCAUGGAGUUACAGCAGAGGAACUGUGCAGAAUAGGAAGUGUCUCUGUGAUAGCUAAAGUGACUACUAAUAUACAGCAGUCAAAUUCAGAGAUUUCUCCAUAUUGUAAGGAACUGAAUGUCCAAGAAAUACAAUGAUUUUAUGGUUUGUAACUUUAUGCCACUGAGCAAUGGAGAGUAAGAAACAUUGAAAAAUUUCUGCAAUUUUUUUCCCCCUUCUUGCUAGCAUAGCUUCUUCUUUUCUGGAGUACUGUUAAAAAAAAAAAAAAAAAAGACAAAAUACCUUUAGAAAAAAAGUCAGGAUACAGGUUCCAAAUUCAAGAUGGUGUUGGAAGUUGUAUUCCCAUCCUGCCAGUCAUCCCUAACUUCUGUUUAUAGUUUCUCACAGUCAGAUUUCUGGUUUGUGUAAAUUAGUUGGGAUCCCCUUGGCAUCUUGCAGGAGAUCAUAGUCAGUGCUCAAAAAAGAAUGAGGCACCUAAAAUCCGCUUCAGCCAACAUUUUAUGACCACUAAGAGGAGAAAAUCAGAUCUUUGUAGCCUGGCUUCCGGCGAAGAAUCUAUGGAUAGAAAUGUGUCUUGAAACAAGACCUUAUCUACUUGUUUGUUGCUGUUUAAGGAAGUCAGGUCAUUAAAUCCGGUCAUUCAUAUCAAUCUUUACUUGGGAUUUUUGCUUGUCUUUUCUAUUUUUCUUUAAGUCAAAAGAUCUUAUGACACCUUUGUAAGAUCUCAUCAUAGCUGUGCUCUAGUUAUUAGUUAGAAGUCUGAUAAAAUGUGCUAUUACGACUCUCCAAAUGUAGUCUUCCGCUCUCAUUUAUUUGCUGCUUCUGGCUGAGAGCAUCUCUUCAAAUGGCUUAACAUAGCACAUAAAUAUCAUGAAUUUGCAAAAUAUGGAGCAUCAAAGAAGACAAUUACAUCAUACCCUGCCCUCCCUUAUUCCUCAGGCUAAUAUAAAAUAUGCUUUUGUUAUUGAACUGGAAAACAAGUUGUUGUUUUUCUUAAAAUUUAGGUUAUGGUAAAAGGCUAAAGUUCCACACACUUACAUGGGGAAUAUUAUAUAUAUGAAUCAACUUCACUGCAUUUUCCUCCUCCCUGAUGCUAACUGUAGGGCUAGUGAUCUCUACCAGCAAUGAGGUAUGUGCCAUUCCAUGCUGGGCUUGAGACCGACACAGGAUUUUCACGGCUUUUGGCUGAGUUUCACAUCUACUCUUAUCCUGAAAUUAGCAAAAGUAUUUGUGUGGAGCUCAACCAAGCUGUUAGAUUGUUUUGUGUAGCUGUCUCAGGUUCCCUACAAUGAAUGAUACAACACUCACCUGUAUUGCCAGCGAUCACACCAAGGUAGACCUCAGGAGUACUGGAAGACCAGAAUUUGCUCAUAAUUGUUAAUGCUGAUACAGUUGUGUGUGGCCUUUUAGACAACAUCUGGAGCUCUGGGGAGGCUGGGUAGAGAGAAGUCAGAUUUAAGAGUCUGAGAACUUGCACAGAGCCGACCCCCUCAGACAUCAUGGGCCUUCGGGGCUGCAGCCAGGGAGAGCUGCCAGGGGCUGCCAUCAUCACUUAUCUGCAUAUAGAAGGACAUGAGUAAUGCUUUGGAUGUCACCCCGUACCUCCCCCGCUGCAGAGUGGUGGUGCUGCUGCAGCAGAGCCACAAUCAACCCCUGGAAUCCAGGGUGGCAGCAGGAAAGCUGUCUCACUCGCAUUUUAUAUCACAGAUAAACCUCUGGGCAUAAGUGACACUUUGGUCUUGACUAAAAAGGAAUACAGAGCUCAAUCUGAGUUUUCUUCCCUAGAUUUUUGGUAGUUUUUCUGUUACUUCGAGUGCCAUGCACCUCAGUCCUUCACCAGGUUCUCACUUCUGUAAGUUCUCACUGUCCGGUGAAUAAGGAUGCUAAGUGUGCGCACUCUUCUUAGUGGGUUGUUUUUCUUAGAAACAGGAAGAAAGAGGAGGUUGGUUUGUAUUUUUCGAUGUCACAUCUUAAGGAAAUAAAGUCUUUGUCAAAGAGUUUUGAACAUGCUGGCCAGUUUCAGCAAAAGGGAUGGCUGAACAGAGAUCUGGAAGACAUGAAGGUCUGACAGGUGACCGGAUGGGAGCAGGAAAGAGGGAGUAGCAAGGGGAACUCAGCUGAGGUUUCUUUCUGACAGCAGCUGGUUAACCAGUGACCGUGCCUGUAGCUCUUCAUACCCUGUGCUCACUUGUGCUCAGCAGAAAGCCCAAAGGCUAUAAACAAGAUACAUAAGUAGCUCUUCGGAUGUUACAUGAACAGAUCAAGAGACUGUAAGUGGAGCUGGAGUUGAGGAGAAUUUAGGAGAGACAAAGACUGGUGAUGGCAAUGCUGCAAGAAACAUAGGUGAAGUUGGAUUACAUAUAUUGGUUAGGGCUCAGGACACAUAAUAUGGAUUUGUAACUUGUCAGGCUUAUUUUGCUUUCCUGCUAAUGGAAUAAGUAAUUUCCCUCUUUAGUCCCAAUUGCCAUAGCUUUGGUUUUGUAUCAGCUCCCUCAUCAACCAUGACUAGAAAUGCAGACACCAGCUCCCACAGCAGCUUGAAAUUUUAGCAUGACAAAAAUAGUGUUUCCUAGCUAGGGAACAGUUCCCCAGUAACUGCAGUAAGCAAAUGGAAGAGCCACAGUUCUGAACCGUGUGUGCACUUGUGUCAACAGUGGUUCUCUCAGUGCAGCGAUCUGUACAAAUUAGAGGCAGAAUUCACUACAGAGCCAGCUCAUGUAAGCAGAGCUUACCCAAAGUGUAGUGUUUAGCACCUUCUCCUACUCUCGGCUUUCUGAUGUGUUUAGUGUGGGUGUUCUGCAAACAUGAAUAGGACUUAUCAAGCUGUGACCUUGACAGAGCUGGUGUUUUGCAAGAAACCAGAUUCUGCUGUACAGUGCUUGUGUAAAAGUCACUAGCAGUCCACAACAGGGUACUUUGCCACUUUCUCGGUGACUGGAGAUUUUUUCACUAGGCAGCAUGCCUAGCUCAGAGUCAGUCCCAAACAAAGACUAAGUCUAGAUCUGUUACCUACUUCCAGCAAUAGCAUUUGCAAUAGAUCUGAUCGCUGUUCCCUCUGUCGAGGUAACUGUGUCACCCUUUUGCAGUUGAGUGUUAUGUUCUUAUAUGACUUGAGUUUUACUGAAGUCCUAAAGCAAAAGGCAACAGCAAAAAGAUUUCUGUGAGCCUCCAAGAAAGUGGGGGGAUACAACAAAGUGAAAAGGCUUGGGAUAAUUACCCCCAGAUUUCCAGGAUCCAUGUUAUUCAUCAUGUAUGUGAUCUGAUGAAAAGCCUUGUGGAACUUUACAGGACCUGUAAAAGGCAGUGUUGUGCCUUGUCAGGGAACAAAUGGCCGCUGGAAAACCUGGUUGCAGAGAGCAAACCAGAAGUUUUGCAUGAUAUUUGUUUUACCAGGAUGAAAGAUGCUGCAACUAUAUUCUUUGUAGACAGACAGUGGGCACAGGUCUGCAAAAAUGGUGCAAAACAUAAAAAGCCCACAAGUUUACUCUGCAGAAAAUAAGAAGGCCAUCAUUUAUUAUUGUCCUAGUCUAGCAUUGUGAAGAUCUAGCAGUAAAAAGUGUAAUGGAAAUGACAUGCCAAAGUAGUGACACCCUUUUUUUCUUCCAAGAGUUCUGUCACAGUCAUUGUCCUCACUAGUUUGUCUUACUGCCCUCACUAGUAAGUUUCAGAAACAUUCUGAGAAGAUAAUUGUUUGCAGCUUUUAUGAUUACAUCACUGGAAUGCUGUCAGAAGAAAAUGCCUGCCCUGAGCUACCACAAGAUAUUGAGCUGCCAAAGCAAGUGGUUCUGUCUAAUCAAGGAACUAGAGGCCUCUGACUUUUCUCAGCUCUGCUUACAGGACAGUUGAAAACAGUGAAAAAAUGUUACAUCCACAUGGACAGCUUAACAUGCUCAUCUGACCUUCAAAAAGAGUUGUCAAGAGUUUAUUGUGGAGACAGAGGAGAAAGGAGAAGCAGAUUGCUAAUACAAAACUAGUGCUUAUAAUCUAGAUGGGUUUAAAACACAGUGAGAUGUCAUUGCAAAUCUCCAGUGGUUCACUUCACACCACGAAAAGGACUUGGGCUUAGUCACUCAAAAACAUGUCACUGUUAGUUGUGGGCAAUUUCUUUGAAAAGUUACUAUUACUAUGACUCAUCCAGGCACCAGUCAGUUCUAUUGUAUUGUAAAUAUGUUGUAUUCCUGAUAAAUUGAUUUUAAUUACACACAUUUUAACAGUUUACAGACUUCUUAGUAUUGAUGAGUUUCCAUAUUAAGGUUUUUUUAUUACAUCUGGAAAAGGCCUUUUACAUGCACACAUUUUUAGAACACCAGCAAUUUUUUAAUCAGGCCAGUGUUUACCUUUUAUAUCCCAUUACUCUGGUUUGGGUGUCUACUUUCAAGGUUAAAAGUGUCAGUGUUCCUUUCCACUGGGCGGUGUGCUUUGGAGUGCUUUUGUAUCAGCUGAGAAAUCUUUGGAGGAAAACGGUAAUUAUAUGACAAUGUUCUUUUUAUCUCUUGUAUUACAACAGCAAAGAAAUGUAUAAAAUUCACAUGAUCCAACAUCAUCUCUAGCCCAGGAAAUUCAGACUGCUUUAAAUAAGUAGCAGUGGCAUGGAUGAGACAGAACAAAUGACAACGCACCAUGGAUCUGGGAACUGGGGUUUACUUAACAACUAACAAGAUUAGAACUGUUACCCUUCUUAAUUAUUUCAUGCACUCUCUCAUUCUUGCCACCACCCCAAGUGUUAUGUCUCAACUUCUCUUCACAGCAGGAACAUCACUGUUCAUCCAGGAAGGCCAUCCCCUAGCAUUCAGCAACACACAGCCCUCAGGACUCUAGGAUCUUCCUCCACUUUCAGGACCUUUCCUCUAGCCAAGAUCUCCACCUUUCUUUUUCCAGGCCACCUUCUUUUUACUGAGACCACUUCUUUUUGGGAACCCUUCAUUUUGUCACCAGCUAUUCUUUCCAAAAUUCAAGGACCCCAUUUUCCCUAGUUUCAACAGUCUGAAGUGCAUGCAUAUGAUCAGCCUUGUAAUUGGUGGCUCUGGCUCAUGUCUCUUCAUUAAUUGAAGGAUUCAGGACGUGCUGCUUUUGUUUAGUCCAGGUGUUACCAAAAUUCACUACCAGCCUGUACAAGUUGGAGUUAGUAAGCAGGAGGCUUCUAGGCUGAGCUUGACAGUUCAGGAGUUCAGCUUCAGACAUUCUCCCCCAUACACAUGCACACAACUAUCUGUCCCCUGUAGCUUUCACAAUUCAAGCCAUUUUUUACCUAGGGCAGGCAGGUGUUAGGAUAAGCUAGACAAGACAAUAACAAAGUUAAUAAAAACAGUGGUAAAACUUGACAUCAGCACCUGCAAAUAGUAGAUAACUCUGCAGUACAGGGCUGUCCAAACUAGCAUAAGCUCAACCCAGUGAGUCCUAGAGAGCAUCCACCCGAGAGCAUGGGUAUACUGCUUCCAGAAUCAACCUGGCUCACAAGAAGCCCAUGUGGAAAUCUCCACACCGAGACCAGAGUUACUAUGCCACCUAGUUAAUUCUACACCAGCUAGCUAGGAGGAGACUGUCAUUAUUUUGGUUUUGGAUGGAUUAAUAUAAACUAAAGCUCACUUGCCUAUUUCAUACAAGCUAAAAAAAGACAAGAAUGACUGAAUCUGGUGACCAGGAUGAUAGUAUUUUACCAGAAGCCUGCUCAAUACUUGCAGUGCUUCAACCCAGAUUUUAUUAGAGAUUCUUUUGCCUUUUUCAUCUUUUGUAUUUCUAGGAGCUGAUUUCCAUUUACAAAGUUAUUUCAGCUGGAUCACAUAUCUCAGCUUCAUUUAAAAUGGCUGAGAUUAUUUAAUUCUAUUCAUUGUGAAAAGAGGCUCCAGAGUGUUGGGCGUUCACAAUGGAAAACUAUUUUUAGUCUGUUUUCAUAUGGAAGCAAUGCCUGCUCACCCAGGUUGUUUGUUCACCCAUCUAUCAAUUUAGUUCUACUAACUAUGAACUUCAGACUGAUUUCAGGCAUAUUUGGCAAAUUCGCAAAGUUCCUGCAAAUUAUGUAAAAAACCUGUGGUUUGGUAGAAAAAAUCAUAUUAUUUCCUUUGUGAUGCAGGAAAAGGAGGAAAUACUCAGCCAUUGUUCUUUUGGGAGAGAAUGGGCUGACCUGUUAGCCUGUGCUACUAAUGGACCAGCUGCAGAGCUUGAAUUCAGCUAGAGCACAUCUGGCCUCUUCCCUGCCUGGUAAUUAGAGGAUCUGCAGUGAGUAAAUGAAAGCCCUCAACCCACACCCUCUGGCAUAGCUUCUGCUGUGGUAGCCCUGUGGCAUUCCCCCAGGAGAUACAGACUUCCCUCACGGGGAGGAAGGCGAACUGGUUCUCACACAUCUUCUCCAAGUGCUUCAGUUACUACUUCACUUUUUUGAAUCUGGCCCUAAUCAUAUUUGCAAACAGCCUCGAGAUGACAGCAACCACAGUGGUAGUUUUACUGGCGUUUUUCUAAUGGUCUUCUUGCCAGUUGUGCUUAGACCUGUCCUUGGAUGUUGCAGUUCAGUCAGAGCCCACUGCACACAAGUGUGCCACAGCCUACAUUUCUUUCAACAAGCCUUAUCUUGAAUUUUGUCUGUUGGUGUCCUGAUUUCAGCUGGGGUAGUGUUAAUUUUUCUCCUAGUAGCUAUAGGUGCAGUGCUAUAUUUUGUAUUAAGUAUGAGAAUAACGUUGAUAACACAGUGAUGUUUAGUUGUUGCUAAGUAGUACUUACUCUAAACCAUGGACUUGAGAUUUUCCAUGCUCUGCCAGUGCACAGCAAGCUGGGAGGAAGCAGCACAGCCAGGAAAGCUGAUUCGAACUGGCCAAAGAGAUAUUCCACACCACAGAACAUCAUGCUGAGUAUAUGAACUGGGGGGGAAUUGGCUGGGAAGAGUGACCACCACUCAGGGAUGGGAUGGGCAUCAUUUAUGCUUGGUGAGCAACUGUAUUGUGAGUCACUAGGGGGUUUUUUUGUCCUUGAGUUUUAUUUCUCUCUCUCUUUUUGUUACCUCCCUUUUCAUUACUAUUAGUAGUAGUAGUAUCAGUAUCAUACUUGACUUUAUUCCAAUUAUGAAACUGUUAUUAGCUCAAACCAUUGCAUUUACCCUUUUCUAGUUCUGCUCCAUGCCCCACUGGGGAGGGGGAGUGUGUGAGUGGCAGCAUGGUACUUAGUUGCUGCUGGGGUUAAACCAUGGCAGUUGAUACUUCAUUUACAAUUAUAUUGCUUCCAGACAUUUACAGUAGCUUUAUUAGAUCCAUCUGGUAUUCUUCAUAAUCCUCCCAAACUGUGCCAAACCCAAAUAAUCUGUAUCACAAGCAAAUAUUACUACCAGACCAUUCAUCCUUCCAGACUCUGAAUAAUAUACAGAACAGUGGCUCCAAUCAGGGUCCUUGGGGCAUCGUGCUAUUAACCUUUUUCCAUUUUAAGAGGCAGUAAUUUAUUCUAGCUCUUCACAGUCUCUCUCUCAGCUAGUUUUUAACUCAUGAUAUGACUUUACCUUUCACUUCUGAUUCUGAAGUUCCUUUACAGCCUCUUUGAAAAAAACUUCAUUGACAACAUUUCAAGGCUCUAAAUCAACAUCAUCUCUCAUCCUUCCUUAGCCUUUUAAUAUUGAAAGAACAUUUACAUCUUGGAAAAUAAAUGGUUUUUCCACCAUUAUUAAGUGACUUCAUUUUGGCUUAUCAAAGCCAGUGCAUGGGAGGCAUAUUUGCUUGUUUUUCUCCCCCUAUGGUUAUGACCAUCUGCUUCCAGCCUACAAUAGUCCUUCAGCUGCCUCAGAAAUACACCAUUAAUUCUUUACCUUAUACGAAGCUAAAAAUCUAUAACCCAGAUGAUUCCUAAAAUCAACAUGAGUUCCACUUUAAGAGUGAAUAUUGCGUUUUUUCAUUUUCUCCUUGCAAAGAAAUGUUUGCCAUAACACAUUGCCUUAGCUCUCUAAGGUCAAAUAAACAACCCAUUUAAUUCAAGAGCCAUUUUUCAUUUUGUGGGAUGGAUUUUUCAAAUUCAGCUGCUUCUUAUUUUAGUUCUCACUAGACAUUCUUAUAUCACUUGCUUCCAGCUAUGUUUAAUUUCAUCUUUUCAAAGAUGUCUCUGGGACAUGUCUGUUGCCUUUAUUACUUGAAAAAACAAGGAUAACCCUGAAUUCCCCACAGGUAGUUAUUUCCUGCCAUUCCAUUAUACUAAUAACUGUGACAAUCAUAGAAUUUGUAGGUUGGAGAAGACCUUUAAGAUCAACCAUUAAUCCAGCUCUGCCAGGUCUACCUAUAAACUAUGUCCCGAAGUGCCACAUCUACAUGUUUUUUAAAUACCUCCAACGAUGGUGAUUCCACCACUUCCCUGGGCAGCCUUUUUCAAUGCCUCACCACCCUUUUGGUGGACAAAUUUUUCCCAAUAUCCAAUCUAAAUCUUCCCUGGGAGAACUUGAGGUUGUUUCUUCUCAUUAUAUACUAUGUUACUUGGGAGAAGAGACUGACAACCACCUGGCUACAGCCUCCUUUCAGGCACUUGUAGAGAGUGAUAAGGUCACACCUGAGCCUCCUGCAAGCUAAACACCCCCAGCUUCCUCAGUGUAGUGGGUUGACCCUGGCCAGAUGCCAGGUACCCACUAAAGCCUCUCCCUCUGCAGCUGGACAGAGGAGAGGAAAAAAAACAGCUUCAUGAGUUGAGAUAACAGCUGGGAGAGGUCAGUGACUGAUUACCUUCACAGGCAAAACAGACUCAAAGUGGGGAUAGUACUUAAAUUUAUUACUAACAGGAUAAGAGCCAAAGAACAAGAAAUAAAAGUCUUAAAACCACCUUCCCUCCACCCCUCCUUCCUUCCAUGUUCUCCCUCCUCCCCCCCAGUGCUGCAGGGGGCUGGGGAAUGGGGGGUUGCAGUCAGCUCUUGUUUCUGCCUCUGCUCAGGGAGAGGAGUCCUUCCCCCUGCUCCCAUGGGGUCCCUCCCACGAGAGACAGUCCUUGAUGGACCUCUCCAGCAUGAGUCCAUCCCUCAGGCAGCAGUUCUUCCCAAACUGCUGUCCCGUGGGUCACUCCUCCAUGGGGUGCAGUCCUUCACGAAUGAACUGUACCGGCAUGAGUCCCCCACAGGGGCCACAAGUCCUACCUGGGAUAAACUUGCUCCAGUGUGGGCUUCCCUCUCCACGGGUUGCAGGUCUCCAGCAGGACCCUGCUCCAUCCUGGGCCUCCCACAGGGUCACAGCCUCCUUCAUGGAUCCACCUGCUCCAGCAUGGGCUCCUCCGUGGGCUGCAGGUGGGUCUCUGCACCCCGAUGGUCCCCCAUGGGCUGCAGGGGCACAGCUGCCCCACCAUGGUCUGCACCAUGGGCUGCAGGGCCUCAGCUCCGGCACCUGGAGCACCUCCUCCCCUUCCUUCUGCGCUGACCUUGGUGUGUGCAUUGUUGUUCCCAUGUUCUCACCCUGCUCUUCCCUGGCUGGAAUUCUUUCUGCGCAACAACUUUCUGUUCUCAAAUAUGUUAUCACAGAGGUGUUACUAUCACUCCAAAUUGGCUUGGCCUUGGCCAGUGGCAGGAACUCUGUCCUGGAGCUGGCUGGCAUUGGCUCCACCGGACAGGGGAAGCUUCUAGCAGCUUCUAACAAAAGUCACCCCGGUAGCUGACCCCCCCACCCCCGCUACCAAAACCCAGCCACAGAAACCCACUACACUCAGCCACUCCUAAUAUGACUUAUGCUCCAGACCCUUCACUAGUUUCAUUGCCCUUCUCUCCAGCACCUCAAUGCCUUUGUUAUCAUGAGGGGCCCUAAACUGAACACAGGAUUCAAAUUGCAGCCUCCUCAGUGCCAAGUACAGAGGAACAAUCACUGCCCUCGUCCUGCUGGCCACGCUAUUUCUGAUACAAGCCAGGAUGCUGUUGGCCUUUAUGGCCACCUGGGCACACUACUGGCUCAUGUUCAACUGCUGUCAACCAGCACUUCCAAGUCUUUUUCCGCUCUUUCCCAAGCCUGUAGCGCUGUUGCGACCCAGGUGGAAGAUGUGGCAUUCAACCUGUUGCAUCUCAUACAAGUGGCCUUGGCCCAUCAAUGCAGCCUGUCCAGAUUCCUCUGCAGAGCCUUCCUACCCUCCAGCAGAUCAACACUCCCACCCAACUUGGUAUCAUCUGCAAACUGACUGAGAGUGCGCUUGAUCUCCUUGUCCAGUCAUUGAUAAAGAUAUUAAACAGAACUGGCCCCAGUACUGAGCCCUGAGGGAUAAUGAAUGUAUAUAAGCAGCUCCGUGUCUCUGCCAAAUAUUUUCCUUCUUCAGUUGUGAAUGGAGUACCUUCUGGUUUUAAAGAUUAUAAAAUACAUUUGUUCAAUCUUGGUUUCUUCAAGUGUGUACAGACCAAUGAUCUCAACAUUUUUGGUAUAAUAUUUGCCGAACUAUUCAACAGGUUUGUUUUUAUUUGUUUGGUUUUUUUUUUUAUUUCAUUUAAAAAUAGCAGCUUAUUAAAAUAAAAAUCUUAACAGCUGAGAAAUCUCUGUCUAUUUGUAUUCAAAAGGAGAUUUUAGAAGUGGCUGGCUUUAAAACCUUGUGUGGAUAUCCCUUUCCUACACCUCUUCUGGAUGCAGAAAAGUGGAAAGGCAGCUGCACAUUUCUGUCAUGGUUGAGGGCACUGUUAAUUGAAUUUGUGCUAAGUGACUACUUGCCUAAUCAGCAACUGACUGGAUUUGAGGUGAUCAUGAUGAACUGGCCAUACCUGGCUUGCAGGUGAGUAAACUUCCUUUCAUGUCUUUUGCUAGUAACCUCUAUAUUUGUGCUUUACCCAACAUGGGCUGUAUGGGAAGUUCGCUUUUCCUCUACUUUACUUUAUCAGCCAGUCAUGUCAAACUGUGGCACUAAUGCCAUAAAUACUAUUGUUUUUCUCUUUCUCAGCAAUCACCUCUGACUUCAAUUAAAAGCUCUCAUUGCUUUAUCAUUUUCAAAACUUCCUUAACCACAGAGAUCCAUUCCUGAGCAGUAAACCCUUAGAAAAACAGCAUGGAUGAAAGGAUACAUUGAGUAAUAGACUGGGUGGUCAGUCUUGCCUCAAUUAUCAUGAAGAAAUAGUGGGGGAUGGAGAAGGUUGUCUUCCCACAGCUGCCUGGAUUCUCAUCAAUAUCUUGAAAGGCAAAGGCAAAUCACAGCCACUCAACAUUUUGAUCCAUUAGGUGAGGCAUCUGACACACAACUCAUUGAACUUAAAGAAUGAGUUUUCCAUUGAUUUCAACAGCUCUAGAUGUGGUCUGAUGCUGCUGCCUGGAACAGUAAUGCUUCUUCAAAUAAAGCAGAAGAUUUCAUUUCUUGGCUGUCCCUUCUGCCUGGAACCACUGCUGGCCUCUGGCAAAAAAAAAAAAAAAAAAUCUGUCUGGACUUACUGACUUGUUUGUGUGGAGCCAGGGUUACGAUGUCUGGGAAGACGUAUUAUUCUGUCAAAUAAGGUCUGCUGGCAGCCCUGAAAAUGUGAAGUAAGCUUACUAGUAUGUAUCUGAACCAUUUUAAAAUUCAGGCCCUGACAGUAAUGGCUGCAAUACAGAAGGAGGAGAGGCUACUACUGUACAUCAACAGAACUAACCUAUCUUAGUUUUUUCCCCAGAUAACGGCAACUCGGCAGUCAGAAUGAACAGUUUUCCUGUUGGAAACCUGUUGCAAAAUUAGUAGUUAAUUCACCACAGCAACAGGCAUGCUUUCUACUGUCCUCUGGUGAAACUCUUAGCUCAGUACAGGCACCUAAUGGCUAUGGCAGUGGAUGGAUCUCCUACAUUAACCUGUUACUGAAGUGCAGGUCUGGGAGUGUAUGCUGGUUUUGGCUAGAGUAGAGUUAAUUUUCUUCACAGUAGCUAGACUGGGGCUGUCUUUUGGAUUUGCGCUGAACAGUGUCAAUUAUAUAGAAACAUUUUUGUUAUUGCUGAGCAGUGCUUACACAGAGCCAAGGUUUUCUCUGCCUUUCAUACUGUAACACAAGCAAGGAGGCUGGUAAUGCUUGGCAAGUUGGGAGAAAGCACAGAUGGAACAGGUGACUCCAACUGACCAAAAGGGAUAUUCCAUACAAUAUGACAUCAUGCUCAGUAUAAAAAGGAGGUGGAAGGAGAAAGAAGUUUAUGUUCCCAAGUAACCGUUACAUGUGAUGGGGCCCUGCUCUCCUGAGUUGGAUGAACACCUGCCUGCCCAUGGGAAGCAGUGAUUUAAUUCCUUGUUUUGCUUUGCUUGCAUGCACAGCUUUUGUUUCUCCUGUUAAGCUUUCUUUAUCUCAACCUACAAGUUUUCUUUUCCCCCUGCGAUUCUCUCCCCAGUCCCACUGGUGAGGGAGUGAGCGAGAGGCUGUGUGGUACUUGAUUUCUGGCUGUAGUUAAACCACAACAGGGUGUGUAGAAUCAAUAGGCACAAACUGGAUGUAACUGUGCUCAGUCUGAGAACUGGGAGACUGUCUGAUCACUGGAGCAGGGAGGCUCUGGAACAGCUCUUUGGUUGGAGGCCAGAAGCGUAACUUUCAAGUGAGUAUGAGGAGAGUUGACUCUCUGCUCUUUCAUUCUGACACCAGUCAGGAAUAACUGUUCACUAACAAGUUUAAUGUUUGCAGCUGGACAUGCACACAUUGUCAGGGUCAUGCUCAUUACUGCUAUUAUUGACACUUGCUGAGUAUCACAUGCACUCAAAUGAAGUACUAACAACCUUAAGGUUCACACAAUGGAAAACUUUGUUCAUGCUGGCAGGAAAUAUACUUUGUAGGUCUAAUUUACAGGGUUUGAACAAUAUAAUUUAUUUUUACUUUGAAGUUAAGUGCAAAGGCAUCUAUCCCAUGGCCUUCCAGAUAUAAAUUCAGUGUCUUAUUCUUACUUUUUGUUCAUGGUCCCAAAAGAAUGAAGUAAUUUGACAUCAGCAGUUUUUGUGCAUUACUGUUUCCAUGUUUUUACCUGUUGUGUGUAUUCAAAGGAAAAGAAUAGGAAAGCUAGUCCUAAUAAGAGAAACUGAGAUCCUAUUCUCACCGCAGAAAUCAUGACAGUAAUCAAAGAUUAAAGAGUCUGUGUUCAGAUCCUCUGAGAAAAGGAGAGCAGAGCCCUAACCUCUGGAUUUGAAGUGCUCCAGGCUGUGUGCAAUAGUUAAGGAAAAAGAAUAACACAGGAGGUAUGCCUGGGCCUCACCCAGAGCCCAAUGAAGUAAGCAGAAACUUUGGUUGCUUUAAGUCUUGAUAGAUAAGUCUUCCAUCUGCAUCUAUCUCAGACUCCAGAAAGCCAAAGGACCCUUGGGUGUGGAGUAUCUCCACUAAUUCUUUGCACUCCACAGGAGGUUUCUGUCUCUCCUACUCCAGAUAGAACCCCUCGCUAGCAAUUGCAAGAACCAGGCCUGCAUCAAUAGGGAGGGAUAAUCUGGCCCACAGUGCACUGAAUUACACUGUUGCCUAAUAGCUGUAUUGCUCUCUGCCAGCUGAAUGGCAUCUGGAUGCCAGAUUCUGCAGAGACCUGUAUCACUUAUCUGUAAACAUGCUUUCUGAAUACAGUAAACCUCCAUGUACUCUGAUACUUUCUGCCUUAAGUAACAUGGAAAAAAAUAGGACUAAUUUUUUUUUCCAUCUGACUGCAUUUUAGACAAAUACUAAAAUCCCAGAACACUUGGACAAAUGAGUAAUAGUCACCAAUGAGGGGGAGGAGGAUAAAUGUUAUAAAACAGCAUCUGGUAUGUAUGAAACCAGCACAAGACUGAGAAAUCCAGAAUAUUCAAUUGCCAGUUUGCUAGCUUUUCUUCUUAAAGGAAGGUGCUACUAUUAAAAAAAAAACUAAAAAUCAGAAUUACUUCCUCUUGGAAACCUUGGGGUUGCCUCUCAUUUCCAAGGCAGUAUUAAAGUUACUGCUUGGAAAAAUAUCCUCAUCUGUGUGAAGAAUAAGAAACAGUGAUUCUUAAUUCUCUGUUUUUCUAGAGGUCUGGAUGUUAGGUUGGGUCAUUCCCCACACAGUGACCACUUAACAUUCAGAAGUUGGCCCUCAAAUGCAGUAAGCCCGGGAGCCAGAUGGAAUACAACUGGGAUCUCCCAGUUUCCCUGGAGCUAAAUAAAAUACACAAAUAAAACUCAAAUCAAAAGCAAGGAAAGUACUUCUAGCAGCAGUGAUUAAUAUUACUGUUUGUAGUUUAGUGAUUUCCAAGUCCACAUAUCCUACUGUGGCAAAUAAUGCACAAACACAGGCACACACAAAAGACAGGUUCUGCAGAGACUGCAUUUUUGGCUUUUGGGUCUUUUUUAAGCCAUAUAUGUUGCAUGCCUUCUCUAUUUCUCUGGUGUGCACUGGCACCUCCUGAGAUGCAUCAGCAGUGCUGUGGAAAGAGGCUGUAAAGCUGUGUUAUCAUGUCGUUACAUGUCAUGUCAUGUUGCGUAUAUCAUGUUAUGCAGCAGGUAUACACUAUGUAUGGUCAUGGCAGACACGGUAAAUCUGUGCAUCUUUUUAAUGUUUGCUGUCCAGUUCCUUGUAUUCCAGCUUUGUAAAUUUUGGGCUAGAGCAAACUUCUUUUUGGUACAUUGACCCUCUCGCUGAGUGCCAGGCUGGAGGAUAUUCAUUCCUUUUCAGUUUUUCACCUUUCCAUUUUCUGGUCACACAUCUGCUUUGCCAACAUGGAAAGACGUGAGCGUUGCAGCUCUCUACUCUCACCUGAAUAAGUAAAUGACAAUCAGUUUAGCAGCUUGUAAGGGGAAGAAAAGUAAACAGUGCUGUGACAGCAGGUCUGCUUUCGCCCACAGCUAUAGAGCUCUGACCACCACACAAAUUGAAGGGCACAGUCAAGACUGCUUGAAGUAUUGAACAAUUAAUGAAUUUUGCAACAGACAUAAUAUGUUUUUACCUCAGAGGUAUCCAGAAGGGCUCCAAAGGGAAUUUAACAUGGAUAAUUCUAGUUGGGAAGCCAGACAGACCACGGAAGAAAACCCAGUAACUAUGGUAAUGUGAAAAGAGGCCUGGGCAGCCUGGGGAGAUAGGCAACAUUUAGAAGUACCAGCAAGAAAGAUACAGGAAAAGUAAUGCCAGUAGCUUCCAUAAGACCAGCCAGUAAGUGCAACAGGACAACAGCAAUGUUUGUCAAGGCACUGUCAGAGGGAUAGAGGCUUCUCAGCACUGACUGAGAAUAAAAUCAAAGGUACUAGCAUAAGGACAGAAAUUACAUGAUGGGGAUGCCUGAUAGCAAGAGAAAAGGUACCAAAGACAGAUUUAUUUUUGUGCACAAAGAUGUUUCUGAAUUUCAAGACAGAUAACUCCUGCACCGGACUGAAGAUAUAUAUGCAUAGUCAUCAGAAGAGAAAGACAGAUGAAUCCAAUAACUUUGCAAUGUGCAGAACUCUCCUGCAGCUCACACCUUCUCAGCCACAAGGAUACUGAUAAAUAUAUCCAUCUGCUGUAAAUGUAGAAGCUCUUCACAAGUCUUAUUUGUCAGUUGUUCAGCUCAAACCACAGGUCAUUACUUGUGUCUCAUAACAAGCCUUUCUCUUUGUGGUCCAUAUACAUGGUAGGGAAGCUUGCUUACUCACGAGACUAAGUUUGCUUAAACAUGAAACAUCAUUGCAUGUCUUUGAGUUCAAUAGAGUUGCAGUAAUUAUUUUCACCUAAUAAUUAAAGGACAAAAAAAUCAAGCUGGGAAUCAAAAGACAAUCCCUUUCAUUGCACCACUGGAAACAUUAUUUUGAACUAUCUUUACAGAACCACAGGAAAGAGCAAGCUAAAAGGACACACGUAUUAGUAGAGUUUUAAUUCAGACCAUAUAAUUUAAUUCUGAAUUAUAAUAGAUCAAAGGGAAACUGAAAUAAAAAAAUACCUGUUGGAUUAUGUCGAAUGGAGUUCCUCUUAAUAGCUCUGAAAAGAUUACAGUCUCAUGAGGCUCCAUCAAUCAGAACAGAAAACCCAGAGAACAAGGACAAAUCAAAGGUUAAGUGCAUGGUGCUGAGGAACACUCUAGCCACCUUCCUUUUACGAUUCUAAACCGGAUGAGUUUGUGUUGGUGGAUCUAUUUAGAAGGAAAAACAGCAGUCUAUAUUCACACAGAGACUUUCUGCCCAUGCAUUUCCCCUGAUGUUUACAACCACCUUGUAUUUUGCCAUCUCAGUUAAUGAACUGUCGUUAUUUCUCUGUGUGUAUUCUUAAAAGGCUUGUUAUUAAUUUAUUUUUUAAACUUCUCUUUAGCCCAGGAAAAGAGAGCACUACAAUAUUCAUUGUUUCUAUUCAACAGAAGGGAAGAAAAAAGGAAAGGAAACAAAGCCCUAGAUCCAUAGAAAGAUCAAACUCCUUUCUGCUGUAACUCCAGUGAAAUAAUUUAAUAUAGCCCAGAGAUGUGCUUAGUCCAUGUUUUUUACACAAGAACAGUAAAGGUCCUAAAUAUUUCAGGAACCUCAAACAGGGAUUGCCUAGGGAUUGUCUAUUUGGCAGGACUCAAGAUGGAGAUUUUGGUCUCAAAGAGAAUUUUAUUUUUACAUUGUUUUUUUCCUUUCUGUUGCAGAGCUUUGAGACUGUACAUCCUCAGGGAGACAUCCAGUUACUUUUAAAUCAAGAGGUGGUCUAAGUUUGGUUUCAGUGGAAGCUGGAACAGGCCGCACACGCAUAGGAAACAUGCUGUUAUCUAACAGCGUGCUGUUAUAUCAUGUGAUCACUAGAAAGGUGUAUCAUCAACAUAUUCCAGAUGUCUAAUUUUUCCUUAACCGAUUUGCUGCUGCAGGCUAUUUGGGGCCCUUAGUUCAACAAUCGUGCUCUUUAAAAUGACAGUGAGUGCUAAUUUUGUCCUAAAACCUGGAUUUAUAAAAGCAAACUUUUAUAAAACCUGAAACCUAAGGAAUUGCCAUAUGCUAUUGUUAAAUUGCAGUUGUUUGCAUGCUGAUAUAUACCCUCCAGGAAUGCCUGAAUUCCCAUACAGCAGCAACUUGGAGCUACAUUAAACAAUAUAAUGAAAACUAAAACUGCUUCUGUAGCUUUUCAUUGACUUCCAUGCUUGAUGCUGACCAAGAAGUCAUUGCUUGAGUUUUCAUUGUGUAGGCAGCACCUCCUUAAGCUAUCAUCAGGCUGUAUGGUGUCAGUCAGCAGCAGAGGCAACAGAUGCCCUCACCACUGUAGUAGGCCAGCUCUGAAAGCAGCUUUCACGGUGUUGGGUCACUCUGGUGCCUAUGGUUUGGGAAGCCUCCACUGGAUAGCGUUCUUAAUAAAAGUGAUACUCUGUGGUGUCUCUCA